rnacentral:rRNA from 1 species
GACGAACGCUGGCGGCGUGCUUAACACAUGCAAGUCGAACGCUGAAGCACCAGCUUGCUGGUGUGGAUGAGUGGCGAACGGGUGAGUAAUACGUGAGUAACCUGCCCUUGACUCUGGGAUAAGCCCGGGAAACUGGGUCUAAUACUGGAUGCUACAUGUCACCGCAUGGUGGUGUGUGGAAAGGGUUUACUGGUCUUGGAUGGGCUCACGGCCUAUCAGCUUGUUGGUGAGGUAAUGGCUCACCAAGGCGACGACGGGUAGCCGGCCUGAGAGGGUGACCGGCCACACUGGGACUGAGACACGGCCCAGACUCCUACGGGAGGCAGCAGUGGGGAAUAUUGCACAAUGGGCGAAAGCCUGAUGCAGCGACGCCGCGGGAGGGAUGACGGCCUUCGGGUUGGAAACCUCUUUCAGCAGGGAAGAAGCCACAAGUGACGGUACCUGCAGAAGAAGCGCCGGCUAACUACGUG